GACAGAGGGGGCAAGCGUUGCUCGGAAUCACUGGGCGUAAAGAGCGCGCAGGCGGUCGGAUAAGUCGAAUGUGAAAGCCCCCGGCUCAACUGGGGAGGGUCAUUCGAUACUGUUCGACUCGAAGGCAGGAGAGGGAAGUGGAAUUCCCGGUGUAGUGGUGAAAUGCGUAGAUAUCGGGAGGAACACCAGUGGCGAAGGCGACUUCCUGGCCUGUUCUUGACGCUGAGGCGCGAAAGCUAGGGGAGCAAACGGG
rnacentral:rRNA from 1 species